GUGCUCGCCUCGGCAGCACAUAUACUAAAAUUGGAACGAUACAGAGAUUAGCAUGGCCCCUGCGCAAGUAAUGAAAUAAACAUUUUUAAAAAACUGUUCCAUCUU